rnacentral:sRNA from 1 species
CAGAGAUAGUCAGAGUUAACUGCAUUAUUGUAUUGUGAUUGAAUGCAAACAUCAGCCGUAGCCUCUUUCAUAAUUAUUCCAGUAAUUCCUAUAUAUGUGUGUGUGUGUGUGUGUGUGUGUGUGUGUGUAUGUAAUGGAGUUGCACUCAGUCAGA